CAGAGGGUGCAAACGUUGCUCGGAAUCACUGGGCGUAAAGGGCGUGUAGGCGGGAAGGAAAGUCAGAUGUGAAAUCCCUGGGCUCAACCCAGGAACUGCAUUUGAAACUCCCUUCCUUGAGUGUCGGAGAGGAAAGUGGAAUUCCUGGUGUAGAGGUGAAAUUCGUAGAUAUCAGGAGGAACACCGGUGGCGAAGGCGGCUUUCUGGACGACAACUGACGCUGAGACGCGAAAGCGUGGGGAGCAAACAGGAUUAGAUACCCUGGUAGUCCACGCUGUAAACGAUGAACACUAGGUGUCGUGGGUAUUGACCCCCGCGGUGCCGCAGCUAACGCAUUAAGUGUUCCGCCUGGGAAGUACGGUCGCAAGACUA
rnacentral:rRNA from 1 species